rnacentral:tRNA from 1 species
UGAAAGGGCAAGCGCAAAACAUGACUUCUAAUUAUGUUUUAAUAGUGUCGUAGCUAUUUCUUUCAU